rnacentral:rRNA from 1 species
AUUGAACGCUGGCGGCAGGCCUAACACAUGCAAGUCGAGCGGAUGAAGGGAGCUUGCUCCUGGAUUCAGCGGCGGACGGGUGAGUAAUGCCUAGGAAUCUGCCUGGUAGUGGGGGAUAACGUCCGGAAACGGGCGCUAAUACCGCAUACGUCCUGAGGGAGAAAGUGGGGGAUCUUCGGACCUCACGCUAUCAGAUGAGCCUAGGUGGGAUUAGCUAGUUGGUGGGGUAAAGGCCUACCAAGGCGACGAUCCGUAACUGGUCUGAGAGGAUGAUCAGUCACACUGGAACUGAGACACGGUCCAGACUCCUACGGGAGGCAGCAGUGGGGAAUAUUGGACAAUGGGCGAAAGCCUGAUCCAGCCAUGCCGCGUGUGUGAAGAAGGUCUUCGGAUUGUAAAGCACUUUAAGUUGGGAGGAAGGGCAGUAAGUUAAUACCUUGCUGUUUUGACGUUACCAACAGAAUAAGCACCAGCUAACUUCGUG